AUUGAACGCUGGCGGCAGGCCUAACACAUGCCAGUCGAGCGGAUGAAGGGAGCUUGCUCCUGGAUUCAGCGGCGGACGGGUGAGUAAUGCCUAGGAAUCUGCCUGGUAGUGGGGGAUAACGUCCGGAAACGGGCGCUAAUACCGCAUGCGUCCUGAGGGAGAAAGUGGGGGAUCUUCGGACCUCACGCUAUCAGAUGAGCCUAGGUCGGAUUAGCUAGUUGGUGGGGUAAAGGCCUACCAAGGCGACGAUCCGUAACUGGUCUGAGAGGAUGAUCAGUCACACUGGAACUGAGACACGGUCCAGACUCCUACGGGAGGCAGCAGUGGGGAAUAUUGGACAAUGGGCGAAAGCCUGAUCCAGCCAUGCCGCGUGUGUGAAGAAGGUCUUCGGAUUGUAAAGCACUUUAAGUUGGGAGGAAGGGCAGUAAGUUAAUACCUUGCUGUUUUGACGUUACCAACAGAAUAAGCACCGGCUAACUUCGUG
rnacentral:rRNA from 1 species